CCUACGGAGGCUGCAGUGGGGAAUAUUGCACAAUGGGGGGAACCCUGAUGCAGCGACGCCGCGUGAGUGAAGAAGUAUUUCGGUAUGUAAAGCUCUGUCAGCAGGGAAGAAGAAAGACGGUACCUGACCAAGAAGCCCCGGCUAACUACGUGCCAGCAGCCGCGGUAAUACGUAGGUGGCAAGCGUUAUCCGGAUUUACUGGGUGUAAAGGGCGUGUAGGCGGGAAAGCAAGUCAGAUGUGAAAACCAUGGGCUCACCCUGUGGCCUGCAUUUGAAACUGUUUUUCUUGAGUACUGGAGAGGCAGACGGAAUUCCUAGUGUAGCGGUGAAAUGCGUAGAUAUUAGGAGGCACACCAGUGGCGAAGGCGGUCUGCUGGACAGCAACUGACGCUGAGGCGCGAAAGCGUGGGGAGCAAACAGGAUUAGAUACCCUGGUAGUC
rnacentral:rRNA from 1 species